rnacentral:rRNA from 1 species
UACGUAGGGGGCAAGCGUUGUCCGGAUUUAUUGGGCGUAAAGAGCGUGUAGGCGCCAGACAGGUCCGUUGUGAAAACUCGAGGCUCCAACCUCGAGACGCCGAUGGAAACCGUCUGGCUAGAGUCCGGAAGAGGAGAGUGGAAUUCCUGGUGUAGCGGUGAAAUGCGCAGAUAUCAGGAAGAACACCCGUGGCUAAGGCGGCUCUCUAGUACGGUACUGACGCUGAGACGCGAAAGCGUGGGGAGCGAACAGG